AUUGAACGCUGGCGGCAGGCCUAACACAUGCAAGUCGAGCGAGCGGAGGACGGGUGAGUAAUGUAUGGGGAUCUGCCUGAUGGCGGGGGAUAACUACUGGAACCGGUAGCUCAUACCGCAUAACAUCAGAUGAACCCAUAUGGGAUUAGCUAGUCGGUGAGGUAACGGCUUACCUAGGCGACGAUCCCUAGCUGGUCUGAGAGGAUGCUCAGCCACACGGGGACUGAGACACGGCCCAGACUCAUACGGGAGGCAGCAGUGGGGAAUAUUGCACAAUGGGCGCAAGCCUGAUGCAGCCAUGCCGCGUGUAUGAAGAAGGCCUUCGGUUUGUAAAGUACUUUCAGUCGGGAGGCGUUACCGACAGAAGAAGCACCGGCUAACUCCGUGCCAGCAGCCGCGGUAAUAC
rnacentral:rRNA from 1 species